rnacentral:misc_RNA from 1 species
GAUGAAGAACGUAGCAAAAUGCGAUAAGUAAUGUGAAUUGCAGAAUUCAGUGAAUCAUCGAAUCUUUGAACGCACAUUGCGCCCGCCAGUAUUCUGGCGGGCAUGCCUGUUCGAGCGUCAUUUCAACCCUCAAGCUCAGCUUGGUGUUGGGACUCGCGGUAACCCGCGUUCCCCAAAUCGAUUGGCGGUCACGUCGAGCUUCCAUAGCGUAGUAAUCAUACACCUCGUUACUGGUAAUCGCCGCGGCCACGCCGUAAAACCCCAACUUCUGAAUGUUGACCUCGGAUCAGGUAGGAAUACCCGCUGAACUUAAGCAUAUCAAUAAGCGGAGGA